UAGGGAAUAUUGGACAAUGGGCGCAAGCCUGAUCCAGCCAUCCCGCGUGAAGGAUUAAGGCCCUCUGGGUUGUAAACUUCUUUUCUCUGGGAAUAAAAACCGGCGUUCACGCUGGCUUGAAGGUACCAGAGGAAUAAGCACCGGCUAACUCCGUGCCAGCAGCCGCGGUAAUACGGAGGGUGCAAGCGUUAUCCGGAUUCACUGGGUUUAAAGGGUGCGUAGGUGGCUUUGUAAGUCAGUGGUGAAAUCUUAGAGCUUAACUCUAAAACUGCCAUUGAUACUGCUUAGCUUGAAUCAAGUCGAGGUGGAUGGAAUAUUACAUGUAGCGGUGAAAUGCUUAGAUAUGUAAUAGAACACCGAUUGCGAAGGCAGUUCACUAGGCUUGUAUUGACACUGAGGCACGAAAGCGUGGGGAUCAAACAGGAUUAGAUACCCCCGUAGUCC
rnacentral:rRNA from 1 species